rnacentral:rRNA from 1 species
AACGAACGCUGGCGGCAUGCCUAACACAUGCAAGUCGAACGAGAUCUUCGGGUCUAGUGGCGCACGGGUGCGUAACGCGUGGGAAUCUGCCCUUUGGUUCGGAAUAACAGUGGGAAACGACUGCUAAUACCGGAUGAUGACGAAAGUCCAAAGAUUUAUCGCCGGAGGAUGAGCCCGCGUAGGAUUGGCUAGUUGGUGUGGUAAAGGCGCACCAAGGAGACGAUCCUUAGCUGGUCUGAGAGGAUGAUCAGCCACACUGUGACGGAGACACGGCGCAGACUACUACCGGAGGCAGCAGUGGAGAAUAUUUUACAAUGGGCUAAAGCUUGAUCCAACAAUGCCGCGUGAGUGAUGAAGGCCUUAGGGUUGUAAAGCUCUUUUACCCGGGAUGAUAAUGACUGUACCGGGAGAAUAAGCGCCGGCUAACUCCGUGCCUGCCGCCGCCGUAA